rnacentral:rRNA from 1 species
GAUGAACGCUGGCGGCGUGCCUAAUACAUGCAAGUCGAGCGAACGGACGAGAAGCUUGCUUCUCUGAUGUUAGCGGCGGACGGGUGAGUAACACGUGGAUAACCUACCUAUAAUACUGGGAUAACUUCGGGAAACCGGAGCUAAUACCGGAUAAUAUUUUGAACCGCAUGGUUCAAAAGUGAAAGACGGUCUUGCUGUCACUUAUAGAUGGAUCCGCGCUGCAUUAGCUAGUUGGUAAGGUAACGGCUUACCAAGGCAACGAUGCAUAGCCGACCUGAGAGGGUGAUCGGCCACGCUGGAACUGAGACACGGUCCAGACUCCUACGGGAGGCAGCAGUAGGGAAUCUUCCGCAAUGGGCGAAAGCCUGACGGAGCAACGCCGCGUGAGUGAUGAAGGUCUUCGGAUCGUAAAACUCUGUUAUUAGGGAAGAACAUAUGUGUAAGUAACUGUGCACAUCUUGACGGUACCUAAUCAGAAAGCCACGGCUAACUACGUG